rnacentral:tRNA from 1 species
GGGAGCGUAGCUCAGUUGGCAGAGCACCACGCUGUGGCCGUGGCGGUCGCGGGUUCAAGUCCCGUCGCUCCUCCCA